AAGAGCGGCGAUAGAACUUUGAAUGCACCGGUUCUCGAAGGAUCACUGAAGUUAAGGAUCGUUGCGCGUGGUUGAUAUAAGGAUGGGUGACUAUAUGGGCAAUCGGGUGCUGGCUCUUC
rnacentral:rRNA from 1 species